GAUGAACGCUGGCGGCGUGCCUAAUACAUGCAAGUCGAGCGAACAGACGAGGAGCUUGCUCCUCUGACGUUAGCGGCGGACGGGUGAGUAACACGUGGAUAACCUACCUAUAAGACUGGGAUAACUUCGGGAAACCGGAGCUAAUACCGGAUAAUAUAUUGAACCGCAUGGUUCAAUAGUGAAAGACGGUUUUGCUGUCACUUAUAGAUGGAUCCGCGCCGCAUUAGCUAGUUGGUAAGGUAACGACUUACCAAGGCGACGAUGCGUAGCCGAUCUGAGAGGGUGAUCGGCCACACUGGAACUGAGACACGGUCCAGACUCCUACGGGAGGCAGCAGUAGGGAAUCUUCCGCAAUGGGCGAAAGCCUGACGGAGCAACGCCGCGUGAGUGAUGAAGGUCUUCGGAUCGUAAAACUCUGUUAUUAGGGAAGAACAAAUGUGUAAGUAACUAUGCACGUCUUGACGGUACCUAAUCAGAAAGCCACGGCUAACUACGUG
rnacentral:rRNA from 1 species